rnacentral:rRNA from 1 species
GACGGGGGGGGCAAGUGUUCUUCGGAAUGACUGGGCGUAAAGGGUACGUAGGCGGUGAAUCGGGUUGAAAGUGAAAGUCGCCAAAAACUGGCGGAAUGCUCUCGAAACCAAUUCACUUGGGUGAGACAGAGGAGAGUGGAAUUUCGUGUGUAGGGGUGAAAUCCGCAAAUCUACGGAGGAAGGCCAAAAGCGAAGGCAGCUCUCUGGGUCCCUACCGACGCUGGGGUGCGAAAGCAUGGGGAGCGAACAGG